GGGCGUGUGGCUCAGUUGGUAGAGCGUUCGCUUAGCAUCUCUUCGUCUCUCGUUCGGGAUGAUUCUGUGAUGCGAAAGGUCCUGGGUUCGAUUCCCAGCCCGUCCA